GACCCGGCAGUGGCUGAGGCGGAGUGUUGCUGGCUGAAGUCGGGUUGGGCGCUGUACCGCGCGUGCUGAGUUGGCUUGCGUACCCUCUGUUCUGGGCCCCAAGCCGGCCCGAAAAACCCACGGACCUCCCCGCCCAGGCUCCGAAUUGUGGCGCAGGUUACUUGCUGGCAUUCCUAUUAACCUGGCAUUUGUUUACAAGUGAAAAAUACCCUAACCAUGGAGGUCAGAUGGGCCAGCAGAAGAGGAACUAGGGGAGAACAUACCUGCUCAACAAGGAGAAGGCAGCCGUGGGACCAUCACAGUUGUGAAUGCAAGCAAAUAAAUGUUUCGUAGACUUUUUUAAAGUAACUUAGAAGCACCCUGGUAAAAUACUAUUACCACCCCACCCUAUUCCCCCAAAUAAUAAACCAAGAGGAAAAUCGGU